rnacentral:rRNA from 1 species
GGGCCAGACUCCUACGGGAGGCAGCAGUGAGGAAUAUUGGUCAAUGGGCGGGAGCCUGAACCAGCCAAGCCGCGUGAAGGAAGAAGGCGCCAGGCGUCGUAAACUUCUUUUGUCGGGGAACAAAGGGCGCCACGCGUGGCGUUGUGAGUGUACCCGAAGAAAAAGCAUCGGCUAACUCCGUGCCAGCAGCCGCGGUAAUACGUAUGGUGCAAGCGUUAUCCGGAUUUACUGGGUGUAAAGGGAGCGCAGGCGGCGCGUUAAGCCUGGUGUGAAAGCCCGCGGCCCAACCGCGGGACUGCAUUGGGAACUGGCGCGCUGGAGUGCCGGAGGGGUAGGCGGAAUUCCUAGUGUAGCGGUGAAAUGCGUAGAUAUUAGGAGGAACACCAGUGGCGAAGGCGGCCUACUGGACGGUGACUGACGCUGAGGCUCGAAAGCGUGGGGAGCAAACAGGAUUAGAUACCCGAGUAGUG